UUUUAACAGAUCAUAUACCUGGAGUGUCCUUCACUGGACAUAUGAUAUCCAGGAUAACAACCUAUUCUGAAUUCAAGAGGAUGGAAAAUGCAUUCUAAGUACAAGAGAUAUUUUGUAAAAAUACCUAGAAAGAUAAAAUCCCAAAUGAAACAACUGCAAUAAACCCAUCUAUUGUCUUCAACCAGUACAGAGUUCUACCAUCACAUAAAGCUGUGUGCUCAACAUGGAAAAUCAGGUUAAAAAUAAAAAACCAAACACUGGCUUGUGAAGGAUGUGAAAGAGGCAGAGGUAAACGGCAGAAACGGUCCAUAUAAAUCUUGAAGGCGAUCUGAACCCUACAAAUCGGAUUUCUUCUCUCUGCUCACCUCCAGGUCAUCGUACAACUGGAUAUAAAACCUGGAAAAUGUUAUUUUUGUAUCUGAAGCAGCAGAGGAAUUGUACUGUAAAUUUGCCCUGAUUCACC
rnacentral:lncRNA from 1 species